GAGCUGCAAAGAUGAUCCAGAGAGUUUCUAUUGUACAUGUUCUCAGGGAGAUGUCACAAAUUCAAGCCUCAUGGGACUUAACUGUGAAGAAUCAGAUGGUCAAAAAUUUCCUGCUAAAUUGGUUGCAGCACUAGGUGUUGGCAUUGGUGCUGGCUUUCUCUGUUUGUUUCUUCUUGGUUAUAAGAUGUACCAAUGCAUACAGAAAAAGAGCAAAAGACUUCAUAAAGAAAAGCUGUUCAAACAAAAUGGUGGCUACUUGCUACAAUGCCUAGAGUCCUGCUUUUUUUUUUCGACCAAAAAAUUGAAUGCAAGAUUUGUGUUGUACUAUUUAUUUCACAU